UGAAGCCAUGUUCCAAGAUUUGUAUCAAGUAUUUUAAUUUUUUGCUUGAAAAGGGGCAUUGACUGUUGUGAAUAUCCAAGAAACCAAGAGUGGUGCCAAGCUCCAAGAUUUGUUUAUUGUAAUAGUAGUAUUUUAGUAGGUUGCAAAUCUUUGCCAUGCCAUAAUUAGCUGCAGUAGUAUGGUACUUCUAGAAAAUUUACUUUGGGUCAAAGUAACAAAAUAUUUAAGUACUGUGUUUGAAAAUUUAAUUAGAAUUUUUGAAUUUAUUACUACAAGCUUGAUUAUAAUAUCUUCUAGUGUUCUUCUCACAGAGGUCACCAUUGCCUUCUUCUUUUUCACCGUCGUAUGCCGUAUCAUACGUGCCAAAGAUUUGGAAAAUGUCAACACAAGACAUCCUCAGUUGUAUGAGUCCAAAUUGUACAGGAUUCUCCAAGGAAGAAUUUCCGAGAUAGAAGAUAUGAAUAUAAAGGCCUUAAUAAGGUUUGGAAGGGAAAACUGUCAGAAGCCAAGGCCAGUGAAAAUCCUAUGAAGAUCCAGGAAGCACAAGUAUGGAUUAUAUUUAUAAGCUUGUUCAUGGUCUAGGUUACUAUGGUCAAUACAUUUUUAUGUUGGGUUUCAUUUUGUUUGAUUAUGUUGUGAUCCAGGACAUGGUUGUAUUUAUGAUUUAUUGCAACUUGCUCACAAGUGUAUACUUAAGAGAAAUUUGUAUAUCAAUAUUUUGAGUUUAAUGAAAUAUCUCAUUUUGUAGUAA